CAAAAGGUGAAGGUCAUGAACAACAAAGAAAAACUGAGGAACUGUCACGCCAUGGAGACGGUGGUGUGAGGAGUGGAUGCAAUGGGAGGCACUGGGUUGGAUCCUGAAACAGAAAAAGGACCUUGUUGGGAAAACUGGUGAAAUCAGAGUAAAGCUUGCCACUUAGUCAACAGCAUUAUGCAAAUACUAAUUUCUUAAUUCUACAGUCCUCCCAUGGCCAUGCAGGAUGCUGACACCAGACAGUCAUGCUGAUUUUCCUAGUCUGUCCAACGUAACCGCAGGAAUCACCAUCACAGGACUUUAUCUUGGAAGAGAAACAGGUUAACACCUGAUUUGGGGUGGGGGGAAAGAGAGAGAGAGAGCCUGCAGAGAAGAGCCCCCAGUAGUCUCUGAUCAAAUUCCCACCAAAACUUCAGCUGAAGCUUCGGGCUUCUGGUCUUUCCUCAAACAGCAGACUUUCUCCUGAUGCCACCAUCAAAAAAACCCUGCCCAUCUCGACGGCAGGGUGCUAGCUGUAUAGAUCAGUGAAUAAGUCAGUAAGAUUAAAAGGUGAUGGAAAUGCGAAGGUCAGGGAGACUUGGGGGCACGGCUGUACCACGGGGGCUUCCUCAUGUCCCCACGUUUUCCAUGUGGAACGUCACUCCCAUCCCACUCACUUCAUAUCCAGCAAGUAUUGAACAAGAAGUCCUGUCAUUUAAAAAGAAAGGGAGAAAAGUUGGUCACAGCCAGAGAAGCGUGUCGUCACUCAAAUGCAGGAGCAUCUGGCGGGCUGAGGAUAUCUUUUAUACCAUUAAGAAGGACCAAGACAUAGUCCUUUCUAAAACUGGGCUAGAGGCAAAAGAAAAAAAAAUGCCUGGAGUUGAGGCAGAAACUCAUAAGCCCAUAAAGGGAGGCGGACACGAAGGCGGGACGGAAGCACGUCAUCGGCGGACAGAAGGCGUGACGGAAGUACGUCAUCACCGAGGCUCUCACUGUGCUCACGGCCUCAUGAGCCCAUAAAGGGAAGCGGACACGAAGGCGGGACGGAAGCGCGUCAUCGGCGGACAGAAGGCGUGACGGAAGCGCGUCAUCACCGAGGCUCUCACAGCGCUCACGGCCUCAUGAGCCCAUAAAGGGAAGCGGACACGAAGGCGGGACGGAAGCGCAUCAUCGGCGGACAGAAGGCGUGACGGAAGCACGUCAUCACCGAGGCUCUCACAGCGCUCACGGCCUCAUGAGCCCAUAAAGGGAGGCGGACACUAAGGCGGGACGGAAGCGCGUCAUCACCGAGGCUCUCACAGCUCCCAGGACCUUAUGAGCCCAUAAAGGGAAGCGGACACGAAGGCGGGACGAAAGCGCGUCAUCGCCGAGGCUCUCACAGCUCCCAGGACGUCCGCAAGCAUGUUUCCAACAAGCCCUGCCCACGUGUGGUUUCCCGUGUG
rnacentral:lncRNA from 1 species